UAAGCCCCAGUAAACGGCGGCCGUAACUAUAACGGUCCUAAGGUAGCGAAAUUCCUUGUCGGGUAAGUUCCGACCCGCACGAAAGGCGUAACGAUUUGGGCACUGUCUCAACAACAGACUCGGUGAAAUUGUAAUUCCGGUGAAGAUGCCGGAUACCUGCGACAGGACGGAAAGACCCCAUGGAGCUUUACUGUAGCUUGACAUUGGGUCUUGGUACUACAUGUACAGGAUAGGUGGGAGGCUUUGAAACCAGGACGCCAGUUUUGGCGGAGCCAUCCUUGGGAUACCACCCUUGUAGUACUGGGACUCUAACCAUAGGCCAUGAAUCUGGUCUUGGGACACUGUCAGGUGGGCAGUUUGACUGGGGCGGUCGCCUCCCAAAAGGUAACGGAGGCGCUCAAAGGUUCUCUCAGUACGGUCGGAAAUCGUACGUAGAGUGUAAAGGCAAAAGAGAGCUUGAUUGCAAGACAUACAGGUCGAGCAAGGAUGAAAAUCGGACUUAGUGAUCCGGUGGUUCUGCGUGGAAGGGCCAUCGCUCAACGGAUAAAAGCUACCCUGGGGAUAACAGGCUUAUCUCCCCCAAGAGUCCACAUCGACGGGGAGGUUUGGCACCUCGAUGUCGGCUCAUCACAUCCUGGGGCUGUAGUAGGUCCCAAGGGUUGGGCUGUUCGCCCAUUAAAGUGGUACGCGAGCUGGGUUCAGAACGUCGUGAGACAGUUCGGUCCCUAUCCGUCGCAGGCGUAGGAAAUUUGAGAAGACCUGUCCUUAGUACGAGAGGACCGGGAUGGACGUACCUCUGGUGUACCAGUUGUCCUGCCAAGGGCAUGGCUGGGUAGCUAUGUACGGAAUGGAUAAGCGCUGAAAGCAUCUAAGCGCGAAGCCAACUUCAAGAUAAGAUUUCCCACCGCAAGGGUAAGACCCCAGAAAGACUAUCUGGUUGAUAGGUCGAAGGUGUAAGUGCAGCAAUGUAUUUAGCUUAUCGAUACUAAUAG
rnacentral:rRNA from 1 species